CGUGGAGGAUGAAGGUUUUAGGAUUGUAAACUCCUUUUGUGAGAGAAGAUAAUGACGGUAUCUCACGAAUAAGCACCGGCUAACUCCGUGCCAGCAGCCGCGGUAAUACGGAGGGUGCAAGCGUUACUCGGAAUCACUGGGCGUAAAGAGUGCGUAGGCGGGGUUGUAAGUCAGAUGUGAAAUCCUAUGGCUUAACCAUAGAACUGCAUUUGAAACUACAACUCUGGAGUGUGGGAGAGGUAGGUGGAAU
rnacentral:rRNA from 1 species